CACUGUCACUCCUACGGGAGGCAGCAGUGGGGAAGUAUUGCACAAUGGGCGCAAGCCUGAUGCAGCCAUGCCGCGUGUGUGAAGAAGGCCUUCGGGUUGUAAAGCACUUUCAGUCGUGAGGAAGGUAGUGUAGUUAAUAGCUGCAUUAUUUGACGUUAGCGACAGAAGAAGCACCGGCUAACUCCGUGCCAGCAGCCGCGGUAAUACGGAGGGUGCGAGCGUUAAUCGGAAUUACUGGGCGUAAAGCGCAUGCAGGUGGUUUGUUAAGUCAGAUGUGAAAGCCCCGGGGCUCAACCUCGGAAUUGCAUUUGAAACUGGCAGACUAGAGUACUGUAGAGGGGGUAGAAUUUCAGGUGUAGCGGUGAAAUGCGUAGAGAUCUGAAGGAAUACCGGUGGCGAAGGCGGCCCCCCUGGACAGAUACUGACACUCAGAUGCGAAAGCGUGGGGAGCAAACAGGAUUAGAUACCCUGGUAG
rnacentral:rRNA from 1 species